UAGGGAGACCUAAUCCAUUUAGAAAUCGAAAACAAUGAAAAUUGUCAAUAGAAACUAAAUUGGUCUAACCUAGGUCGUUCGAGAUUGGUAGACAUCUUUCAAAGUAUUAUUCGGCUUCGUUCAAAACCAUAUAUAAUAAAUGGAAAAAGACAGCACCUAAUUGUCAAAGUUAGACUGCUGGAUAAAGUUCCAGCCAGAACCUUGAAAACUGCAUAAGAGAACAAGAAAAAGCAGGCAGACACAGACAUUUAGAUGGAUGUGGAAGCAAAAGAAAUUGU
rnacentral:misc_RNA from 1 species